AACUACACACUACACUCGCCAGGGAAUUACGAGCAAUUUGCUUAAAACUCAAAGGACUUGACGGUAUUUCGAACCCCCCUAGAGGAGCCUGUCCUGUAAUCGAUAACACACGAUCCACCUAACCACCUUUUGCCCUAAACAGCCUGUAUACCGCCGUCGCAAGCUAAGCCCGUGAGGGACAAAACCCCAGCACAAUAACACACCUCUAAGCUAGUACGUCAGGUCAAGGUGCAGCCUAUAAGUUGGUAGAGACGGGCUACAUUUUCUACAUCAUAGAAAUUGGUCACGGAGAGGCCUGUGAAACCAGGACUGUCAAAGACGGAUUUAGCAGUAAAUUAGGAGAAGAGUGCCUAAUUGAAGGUGGCCCCGGAAUAUGUACACACCGCCCGUCACCCUCC
rnacentral:rRNA from 1 species